AUGUGGUAGAUUCUGUAAGGCUGA
rnacentral:siRNA from 1 species